rnacentral:rRNA from 1 species
GUAAGGGCGCAUGGUGGAUGCCUCGGCAUGGGCAGGCGAUGAAGGGCGUGGCAAGCUGCGAUAAGCCGCGGGGAGCCGCAAGCAGGCUGUGAUCCGCGGAUUCCCGAAUGGGGCAACCCGGCCGGUCGAAGACCGGUCAUCCACGAGCUGAAUCCAUAGGCUCGUGGAGGCGAACCCGGGGAACUGAAACAUCUCAGUACCCGGAGGAAAAGAAAGCAACCGCGAUUCCCUGAGUAGUGGCGAGCGAAAGGGGAACAGCCCAAACCGGCGUCGUUUCGGCGGCGUCGGGGUUGUAGGGCCCGCCAUAUGGGGUCGGAAGGUGAAGUCGAAGCGUGCUGGAAAGCCGCGCCAAAGAGGGUGAUAGCCCCGUAGGCGUAAGCCGACCGAUCUCGGCGGUGUCCCUGAGUACCACGGGACCGGGGAAAUCCUGUGGGAAGCUGCCAGCACCAUCUGGCAAGGCUAAAUACUCGCCCAUGACCGAUAGCGCACUAGUACCGUGAGGGAAAGGUGAAAAGAACGCCUAGUAGGCGAGUGAAAAGGACCUGAAACCAUGCGCCUACAACCAGUCGGAGCCUCUUGCCGGACUUCGGUCCGGCAAUGGGGUGACGGCGUGCCUUUUGCAGAAUGAGCCUACGAGUUGCUCCUCUCUGGCAAGGCUAAGUGCCUCAGGCACGGAGCCGCAGCGAAAGCGAGUCCGAACAGGGCGACAGAGUCAGAGGGGGCAGACGCGAAACCGGGUGAGCUACCCUUGGCCAGGUUGAAGCGUGGGUAAGACCACGUGGAGGACCGAACCGGUUGGCGUUGAAAAGCCAUCGGAUGAGCUGAGGGUAGGGGUGAAAGGCCAACCAAACCCGGAGAUAGCUCGUACUCCCCGAAAUGCAUAGAGGUGCAGCGUCGCAGCCGAGUGUGCGGGAGGUAGAGCACUGGUUGGGCUAGGGCCCUUCACCGGGUACCAAACCCAGUCAAACUCCGAAUGCCCGCACAUGCUCUGCGGCAGUGAGGGCAUGGGCGAUAAGGUCCAUGUCCGAGAGGGGGACAACCCAGACCGACAGCUAAGGCCCCCAAGUCCAGGCUAAGUUGGGCAAAGGAGGUCGGGCUGCUAAGACAACCAGGAGGUUGGCUUAGAAGCAGCCAUUCCUUUAAAGAGUGCGUAACAGCUCACUGGUCGAGCGGCCCGGCGCCGAAAAUUGUCGGGCAUCAAGCCUGGCGCCGAAGCUUCGGGUUUGCAGCCUUCAGGCUGCAAGCGGUAGGGGAGCAUUCCAGCUGCGCAGAAGUCGCCUCGUGAGGGGCGGUGGAGCGGCUGGAAAAGAAAAUGUAGGCAUGAGUAACGAGAAGACGGGUGAAAAACCCGUCCGCCGUAAGCCCAAGGGUUCCUGCUCAACGCUAAUCGGAGCAGGGUUAGCCGGGUCCUAAGCCGAGGCCGAAAGGCGUAGGCGAUGGGAAACGGGUUAAUAUUCCCGUGCCACCCGAAGGCGCUAACCUGAGGCGUGACGCAGGAGCGUAAGGCCCGCGCCCUGACGGAAUAGGGCGUUGAAGCCCGUAGGCUGGGUGGUAGGCAAAUCCGCCACCCGCUAAGGCCGAAAGGCGACAGUAGGGGGACCCGCAAGGGAAACCCAUAGAGGCCCCAAGCACACUGCCAAGAAAAGCGUCGCAGGUUGUCUUCGGGUGCCCGUACCGGAAACCGACACAGGUGGGCGAGGCGAGUAUCCUCAGGCGCUCGAGUGAUCCGUGGCUAAGGAACUCGGCAAAUUGGCCCCGUAACUUCGGGAGAAGGGGCGCCUCCUCCCAUCCAAAAGCGGGAGGGGGCCGCAGUGACCAGGCCCAGGCGACUGUUUAACAAAAACACAGCUCUCUGCGAACUCGUAAGAGGACGUAUAGGGAGUGACACCUGCCCGGUGCCGGAAGGUUAAGGAAGGGGGUUAUCUCGGCCUCGCGCCGGGAGAAGCUCCCGACCGAAGCCCCGGUAAACGGCGGCCGUAACUAUAACGGUAGGACUGGAUCGAAGCCGAUCCAGAAGGGCCGUUGUAAAAUUCGGCUAUAUGCUGGGACAGCUCGGGUAUCCCAGGGUACCGAGAAGGUAAAAAUCCUAUGGGUGGAGCCAACCAGCAGGAAAGACUUUCGGGGACCGAAGCCGAACGGUGGUUCCUUGCAGGGCUCAUCGAAGGGGAAGGCUCCCU